UAGACUGAAGAACAGAGACACACCAUAACUACUAACAGUUCAUCAUGACGUUUACUAUUGUGGUUCUACUGAUGACAAUAGGCUUGACAGGUGUUCAGAGUCAGACAUUGACUGAGUCUGGACCAGUUGUUAAAAAGCCUGGAGAAUCACACAAACUGACCUGUACAGCCUCUGGGUUCACUUUCAGUAGCUACUUGAUGGCUUGGAUCAGACAGGCUCCUGGGAAAGGACUAGAAUUUAUGGCAGCGCAUUAUGACAGUAGCAAUAUUGCCUACUCCCAGUCGGUUCAGGGUCGUUUCACCAUCUCCAGAGACAAUAGCAAGCAGCAGGUGUAUCUCCAGAUGAACAGUCUGAAGACAGAAGACUCUGCUGUUUAUUAUUGUGCCAGAGACACAGUGACACAGGAGGCUGCAGCACAGUACAAAAACUGA